rnacentral:tRNA from 1 species
GGCGUCGUGGCAAAGUGGUUAAGCGCGCCUGUUUGUAACCCAGAGGUAACGGGUUCGAGACUCGUCGCUGCUA